rnacentral:lncRNA from 1 species
GGGGCAGUGAUAAAAAUGAAAUUGGACCUUUUCAAAACUAAGAAAUCACAAACUAAUUUACAUGAGUCAUUGCUGAUUAAUAUAAUAAUUUUCAUAAGGAAUCUAUUGUGCUGUGUAUAGAGAAGCCACUAUGGAAACUCAUGAAAGUACUGUGGUGUGUCAAAGUUUUAGAUUAAUUUUUUAAUCUUUACUUGGAAACUGUAAACAUGUGCCUGAGUUUAGCACAGGGAAAUUUGGAUUUGAGAAGAAGAAGCUGGGAUUCUGACUUAUUUAUACUGGCCAGGACUUUAGUUACUGAUGUCCUAAGAAAUACUGAGCUCAUGUACUUCGAUUGCUGUUAGAAAUGGAUAUCCCAGCACCUGCUGAGGCUCCUGCCAUUGUGCCUGUCUGCAGAAUGGGUGCUUUGAUUUUAAAAGCUCUGAGGUAAUCUACUCUGGUGCACCAGCCAGGGUCAACAAUUUUAUCAGCCUGGCCAAGUAUUAGAAAAAUGUUGGGAAAAUAAAGAGCCCCCCAAUUUUAAUGCAGCUUUACCCAAAGUUAGUUGGUUAUAUCUUCAAUGGAACUUCCAUUACUUGACAGGAGGCUUUGCCUUUUGAUGGUCACUGAUCGCCGGGAGCCAACUGCCAACGACAAGUAACUGUCAAGAUCCUGAUCAGACUCUCCCCUCAGAGUGCCCGUUCAGUAUCUCAACAUCUGGGAAUAAUAGGCCUGAUGUCAUCACGCAGGAAGGAAAGCCUGCUCUACUCCUCUCAGGGAAACGUCUCUCCUUCAGGAUCUGGCCGUGGGCAGCACUCUUCUUGUCUCUGCUGCUUUGGUUAACACCAGCUGGCAGCACCGCCCUCUGCGAGGUGGCCAUCCAAAUGCAGACUCUUCCAAAGCUUCCAAAAGAGCCUCAUGAAGCCUCCCAGCUUUACACUUCCUGCCGUACUGGAUCGUGUGUCCACUCUGCUGGUUUCUGCCACACACAAUCACAUGCAUUUUCAUCCCAGAUCCUCUCUCUAAAGUGGGCAGCAGGGGGAUUCCUGGGUGGCGCAGUGGUUUAGCGCCUGCCUUUGGCCCAGGGCGUGAUCCUGGAGACUCGGGAUCGAAUCCCACGUCAGGCUCCCAGUGCAUGGAGCCUGCUUCUCCCUCUGCCUGUGUCUCUGCCUCUCUGUGUGUGUGUGUGUGUGUGUGACUAUCAUAAAUAAAUAAAAAUUAAAAAAAAUAAAGUGGGCAGCAGGGCAAGGUGGGCUGGACCCAGGUACCUUGUGUGCCUUCCACUUGACCAUGCAGGAGACAUAUACCUCCAGGACAUGCCAAACUGCACUGCUUCAUUGACACUGCCUCUUGCCACCCUGCCCUCUCUCUUGUGGUCAUUUCCUUUGCUAAUUGCAGUCAUUCAAGCAAGUCCACCGCCAAGGUAGACAUCCAACUGGAGAAUGUUUGCCAAUUGCCCCUCAUUGCAAGUACCCUGACCUGCUGUGGUGAUUCCUUUGGCUCUGCCCUUACUUGUCUGAAGAGGGAAGAGCAGAGACAUCUUUAUUAGAAGAAAAGAUGAAAAAAAUCAUUCUUACCUUAAAUCUUUCUUUUUAGAAAUUUUUAUUUACUUAUUUGAGGGGAGGAGAGAGAGAGAGUGAGCACAUUCAAGCCAGGCAAAGGGAGAGAGGAGAAGUAGACUCCCCACCGAGCAGAGAGCCCAACAUGGGGCUUGAUCUCAGGGAUCAUGAUCUGAACCAAAGGCAGAUGCUUAACUGACUGAACCACCCAGGCGCACCUUUUAACCUUAAAUCUUACCUACUCUACAAGGCCAAUGACUUCAACAAUUCCCCCUUGUUCUUCUUACACAAACUUUAAAGGAAGGGUAUUGGGAUGUUGGCUGGCCAUGGAGGGACUGAUUUUGUCAUUCCUUACUAAGCCCUGGGAUAACAUGUCUAGCUCCAUGGCUGGCUCUUUAUCUCAUGGAAGAUAGUGGAAAAUAGUUUGAUAAUUCUCAAAAGGAUAAUUAUAGAAUUACUAUAUAGCCCAAUAAUUCUACUUCUGGUAUAUAUACAAAAGAAUCAAAAGCGGGUAUCAAACAAAAACUUGUACACAAAUGUUCAUGGCAGGACAAUGUGCAAUAGCUAAAAGGUAGAAGCAAACCAAAUGUCCAUCAACAGAUGCACAGAUAAAUGAAAUGCCUUAUAGCUAUACACUGGAAGGUUAUCCAACCCUAAAAAGGAAUAAGUGCUUAUACAUGCUGCAACAAGAAUGAACCUUGAAGACACCAUGCUCAGUGAAGGAGACCAGACACAAAAAGCCACACAUUAUAUGAUUCCAUUUACAUGAGCCAUCCAGAAUAGACAAGUCCAAACAGACAGUUCACGGAAUGGGGGUCACUGGAGGCUGGGAGGAAGGAAGACUGGGGAGUCACUGCUUAAUGGGUAUGAGGCUUCCUUUUGGGAUGAUGAAAAUAGUCUGGUAAUGUGACUAUGGUUGCAUAACUUUGUGAAUGUACUGAUUGCCACUGAAUUAUGCACUCCAAUAUAAUUGAAAUGAUGGAUUUCAAUAUCGUGUAUUUUACCACGAUUCAAAAGAACAGCGAGCCAAAUGCUAUGGUGAGACAAUUACACAUAUUUUCCACGCCUGUUAUCAGAUGAAGGAAUUUCCUGAGUUGUGGUCCUGGCCUCUGAGUCUUGGUUCAGUCGCUUCCUCCUUCUCCCUUUGGGAUUGAACCACCCUAAGGGAGAUGUUCAUCAGGGUAGGCUCCCAUGGUGGAGACCUGCACCUGCCUGGUAUCCCCCGUGAUUGGCUGAGUUCAGGGAAAAAGUCUUAGCAAGACACCACUUCUCCGUAUCUCACUCAUGUCAACCAGACUAAUUUAUAAAUAAGAAAUCCACCAUUUGGUCUCUUAUGCUUCUUCAUCUAUCUCUCUGGAUAUGAAAUUUUAAGAUUAAGUUGGGUGGAGAGGAAAACCUCCCUCCAAAUUCCUUCCCUCCGCCAAAAUUCCAAGUUCCAAACCAUUGUGCAUGGCCACCAUUAGCCUCUAAACCUCUAAAUUACAUGUAAGCAAACACUCACCUUGACUGUUUGAAAAAAAAAAUUCAAGCCAGAAAAAUAUCAAAGAACAUCUAUUCUUGAGCAAUGAAACUUUUGGAUGUGGCCUCCAAGCUAAACUUGUAAAUUGUGCUUCGUGUAAUCAAAUAGGUUAGAUGACUCCGUGUGAUUUAUUAAUUAUAAGCUAGCUAAAAUUAGAGAAACAUUAAAAAAAAAAACAUUUCAGCUUCUCGCUUAUUGCCUGUGUUUCUUCAUUCCUCUCUCCACUUUCUCCUCUACUGCGUGUCACCCUUAUUUGGAGAGUAUGACUUACAGGAGGUAGUAAAGGACCGUGAAAGCAAAACACCAUUUAGAAUUGAAAGUAAAUGUUCAGUAAAUCAAUAAGUAUGGUAUCACCAUGCUUUUAAAAUUUAAAAACUUAUCAGAAUCACCCAAAGUAUUUCAAAGCAAAAACAAAAACCCCACAACAUUUUUACAGAACUGGGUGUUUUAAAAAUUCUUAGUUGCACACCGAAGAGGAUACAGAAAAGUUGGAAAGAAGCCAUAUGACG